GAUGAAGAACGUAGCGAAAUGCGAUACUUGGUGUGAAUUGCAGAAUCCCGUGAACCAUCGAGUCUUUGAACGCAAGUUGCGCCCGAGGCCAUUAGGCCGAGGGCACGCCUGCCUGGGCGUCACACGUCGUUGCCCCCCCAUCUACUCCUUCGGGAUUGCGGGGGGCGGAUCAUGGCCUCCCGUGCGCCUCGCCGCGCGGUUGGCAUAAAUGCCAAGUCCUCGGCGACGCACGCCACGACAAUCGGUGGUUGCGAAACCUCGGUUGCCCGUCGUGUGCGGUCGUCGCGCAUCGAGGGCUCGAAAAAAUUGCCGGGUUCCGGCUCGGCUUUCAACGCGACCCCAGGUCAGGCGGGGUUACCCGCUGAAUUUAAGCAUAUCAAUAAGCGGAGGA
rnacentral:misc_RNA from 1 species